GACGAACGCUGGCGGCGUGCCUAAUACAUGCAAGUCGAGCGGAAGUUGGAGAGCUUGCUCUUCAACUUUAGCGGCGGACGGGUGAGUAACACGUGGGCAACCUGCCCUGCAGAUCGGGAUAACUCCGGGAAACCGGUGCUAAUACCGAAUAGUUUUCGCCACCUCCUGGUGGCGUACGGAAAGACGGUUUCGGCUGUCACUGCAGGAUGGGCCCGCGGCGCAUUAGCUAGUUGGUGGGGUAACGGCCCACCAAGGCAACGAUGCGUAGCCGACCUGAGAGGGUGAUCGGCCACACUAGGACUGAGACACGGCCCAGACUCCUACGGGAGGCAGCAGUAGGGAAUCUUCCGCAAUGGACGAAAGUCUGACGGAGCAACGCCGCGUGAGUGACGAAGGUUUUCGGAUCGUAAAACUCUGUUGUGAGGGAAGAACAAGUACCAACUAACUACUGGUACCUUGACGGUACCUCACCAGAAAGCCACGGCUAACUACGUGCCAGCCGCCGCAGUAAUAC
rnacentral:rRNA from 1 species